CCUACGGGAGGCUGCAGUGGGGAAUCUUAGACAAUGGGGGAAACCCUGAUCUAGCCAUGCCGCGUGAGCGAUGAAGGCCUUAGGGUUGUAAAGCUCUUUCAGUGGGGAAGAUAAUGACGGUACCCACAGAAGAAGCCCCGGCUAACUCCGUGCCAGCAGCCGCGGUAAUACGGAGGGGGCUAGCGUUGUUCGGAAUUACUGGGCGUAAAGCGCACGUAGGCGGACUGGAAAGUCAGAGGUGAAAUCCCAGGGCUCAACCUUGGAACUGCCUUUGAAACUCCUGGUCUUGAGGUCGAGAGAGGUGAGUGGAAUUCCGAGUGUAGAGGUGAAAUUCGUAGAUAUUCGGAGGAACACCAGUGGCGAAGGCGGCUCACUGGCUCGAUACUGACGCUGAGGUGCGAAAGCGUGGGGAGCAAACAGGCUUAGAUACCCCAGUAGUC
rnacentral:rRNA from 1 species